GCCGCCGGAGCCGAGCGCGGACUGCCCGCCCCUCCUGCGGGGGAGGGGGUGCCGGGGCCGCCGGGCCGUGCCGGGGAGGAGCCCGCGGGGGCGCUUCCUCAGCUGUUAUGGUACUGCUGAUACAACGCAGAGCACUGAGAUCCUUCUGUUUCUAACCCAGGCACACAAUGUGGAGAGACAUGCAUGGAUAACGUAAUUAUUACUUCUCUUUUAUUUUUCGUCUUUUGGGUGAAAAUAAGGGAGGAUUUUCAAGCCCACGGAAGUCUAAAGUAGCAUCUGAUUGAGAACCUUUCUACCUAAGAAUUUCGGGGACCAGUGGCUAUUUAACUACCAGAUCGUACAAAGGCCUUUCCCCCAGUUCUGAGACAGGUCCCAACCAGACAAAAAGGAGAGUGUUAACUGCCCUCUGUGAAUUGUUAUCUGCUUGCUGAAUCCCCAAAAGCAACAGGGACAACAUUUUUCUCCUCAAAGCCAGCAGGUCAGAGCUCUCCUACCCAAUAUGGACAUCACAAACAUUAUCAGAUCUGGUAAUCUUUUAACAUACGACCCUUUGAAGGAAGCAGAGUAACGGGAUCUGUACAACUAUGCACAUUUGCAUUUAGUGAUAUGACUUGAGGGAAACAGAACGUAACCCACAAAUGAUUUUUCGGGGCUGCACAGUAGUCAUUUAUAUCUAAAGAAUCAGAGUCUGUCUACUUGCUAAGCACGAGUAGUACAAGGUACUUCCCUGGGAACAAGAUAGUAUUCAAAAACCUCAGUUUUACACAGCCACUGAGAACACAUUUUGAAACUUAAGACCUGCUCUAUGAGUAAGAUUAAAAAUAUGACUAACUAGAACACUAGAAAAGAAAAAAAUUGAAGCCUAAUUUUUUUUUUUUACUAUGAUGAUUUACUUUGUAUAAAU